CAUUUUAAAUAGGAAGUUUCAAUAGAUCUGAAUUCUCCCUCUAGUUCUCCCUCAUGAUGUUUACAUUUACCUUUUUUUUUUUUUUUUUAUUUUAUUGCAGCCAGUCUUCGGAAAACAAAUGGAGAACUUCAGGAUGAAAACGCCAGUCUUCGGAAAACAAAUGGAGAACUUCAGGAUGAAAACGGUAACUUAUUUCUGAAUUUUUCUUUUCUUUUUUUUUUCUGUUUUGGAGGGGUGGAUAUAUUUCCUAGGAAUAGUUAUUCUCUCUUGACUUUCCUUCCUUU
rnacentral:lncRNA from 1 species